rnacentral:tRNA from 6 species
GGCCCCGUGGUCAAGCGGUUAAGACACCGCCCUUUCACGGCGGAGUCAUGGGUUCGAUUCCCGUCGGGGUCACCA